rnacentral:rRNA from 1 species
GUGGGGAAUAUUGGGCAAUGGGCGAAAGCCUGACCCAGCAACGCCGCGUGAAGGAAGAAGGUCUUCGGAUCGUAAACUUCUAUCCUUGGUGAAGAUAAUGACGGUAGCCGAGAAGGAAGCCCCGGCUAACUACGUGCCAGCAGCCGCGGUAAUACGUAGGGGGCAAGCGUUGUCCGGAAUGAUUGGGCGUAAAGGGCGCGUAGGCGGCCUGGUAAGUCUGGAGUGAAAGUCCUGCUUUUAAGGUGGGAAUUGCUUUGGUUACUGUCGGGCUUGAGUGCAGGAGAGGUAAGUGGAAUUCCCGGUGUAGCGGUGAAAUGCGUAGAGAUCGGGAGGAACACCAGUGGCGAAGGCGACUUACUGGACUGUAACUGACGCUGAGGCGCGAAAGUGUGGGGAGCAAACAGGAUUAGAAACCCCUGUAGUCC